rnacentral:rRNA from 1 species
CCUACGGGUGGCAGCAGUGAGGAAUAUUGGUCAAUGGGAGAGAUCCUGAACCAGCCAAGCCGCGUGAGGGAAGACGGCCCUAUGGGUUGUAAACCUCUUUUGUCGGAGAACAAAACCCGGGACGUGUCCCGGACUGCGUAUAUCCGAAGAAAAAGCAUCGGCUAACUCCGUGCCAGCAGCCGCGGUAAUACGGAGGAUGCGAGCGUUAUCCGGAUUUAUUGGGUUUAAAGGGUGCGUAGCGGUCCGUUUAGUCAGCGGGAAAAUUGCGGGGCUCAACCCCGUCGAGCCGUUGAAACUGGCAGACUUGAGUUGGCGAGAAGUACGCGGAAUGCGCGGUGUAGCGGUGAAAUGCAUAGAUAUCGCGCAGAACUCCGAUUGCGAAGGCAGCGUACCGGCGCCAGACUGACGCUGAGGCACGAAAGCGUGGGGAUCGAACAGGAUUAGAUACCCCUGUAGUC